GAUGAACGCUGGCGGCGUGCUUAAUACAUGCAAGUCGAACGAAUGGAUGUCUAGCUUGCUAGACUGAAGUUAGUGGCGAACGGGUGAGUAAUACAUAGGCAAUCUGCCCUGAAGUGUGGGAUAGCUAUUGGAAACGAUAAUUAAUACCGCAUAGGUAGUAGGAAGGCAUCUUCCUGCUAUUAAAGAUGCGUAUGCAUCGCUGCAGGAUGAGCUUAUGGUGUAUUAGCUAGUUGGUGAGAUAAAAGCCCACCAAGGCUAUGAUACAUAGCUGGUCUGAGAGGAUGAACAGCCACAUUGGGACUGAGACACGGCCCAGACUCCUACGGGAGGCAGCAGUGGGGAAUCUUCCGCAAUGGGCGAAAGCCUGACGGAGCAAUGCCGCGUGAGUGAUGAAGGAAUUCGUUCCGUAAAAGCUCUUUUGUUUAUUGACGAAUGUGCAGACUGUGAAUAA
rnacentral:rRNA from 1 species